rnacentral:rRNA from 1 species
GACGUAGGGGGCAAGCGUUAAUCGGAAUUACUGGGCGUAAAGCGUGCGCAGGCGGUGAUGUAAGACAGAUGUGAAAUCCCCGGGCUCAACCUGGGACCUGCAUUUGUGACUGCAUCGCUGGAGUACGGUAGGGGGGGAUGGAAUUCCGCGUGUAGCAGUGAAAUGCGUAGAUAUGCGGAGGAACACCGAUGGCGAAGGCAAUCCCCUGGACCUGUACUGACGCUCAUGCACGAAAGCGUGGGGAGCAAACAGG